rnacentral:rRNA from 1 species
AUGAGCGAUCCGACCAUCAAGGUCCCCGACGACCUCCUUGUCGAGGUCAUCUCCCGCGUGCCGUACAAGUCCACCUGCUGCUGCAAGUGCGUCUCCACGCGCUGGCGGGACCUCAUCUCCCACCCCGACCACCGCGACAAGCUUCCCCGGUCGACCCUCGCCGGCUUCUUCCACACAACCUCCGCCACGGGCGACCAUAAAUAUCUUUCUCAUGGUUACCUAAGCGUCUCAGGGAACUGGUGCCCUCAUGACGCCUCCCUCUCGUUCCUGCCCGAAUACGAGAGCCUUCAAAUCUUGGAUGGCUGCAACGGCCUCCUCCUCUGCCAGACACUGGAUGACCCCAGGACGCUGGAUUACGUGGUGUGCAAUCCGGCCACAGAGAAAUGGGUAACCGUGCCGGCCACCAAGUGGUCCUGGUUGGUGAACGGCGCUUGCCUUGGAUUUGACCCGGCCGUCUCCUCACAUUUCUAUGUGUUCGAGUUGGUACCUGCCCUUGCUUGGACUUGGUAUAAGAGGGAUGAUUAUAGCAUUGAAGCGGUGGGGAUCUACUCUUCCAAAGUUGGAGUCUGGACACACCCAAUUGUUUUGGACGAUCCAAUUGAGAUACUCUACUUAUCAGGUGGCGCGUUCUUGAGCGGAGUAUUGUAUUUAUGUUCUGAUAAUAAUUCAGUUGCAGCCGUCGACCUGGAGGGAACUUGUAGGAUCAUUCCUAUUCCCACUUCACAUGAUGAUCCUGGUGGUCCUAAUGUCUAUGUAUCACGGGGACAAUUGUAUCUCACAAUUCAAGGUGCUUCUGAACUGUCUUUCUGGGUUCUUGAAGAUUCUAGUAGUGAAAAUUGUUGGACCCUGAAGCUCAAUAUCAGCUACUUGCGACUGUUUGGAAUAGACUAUUCAAGCUCUGGGCAAUAUUACGGUGUUAUCUCAGCUCACCCAGAACACAAUGUGAUAUUCAUAAUCAAAGAAUUUAUAUCGAGAUGCGGAUCACUGAAAAAAUUAUAUUCAUAUGAAAUGGAUUCUGGGGAGCUGCAUUUCAUAUGUGAUCUUCCAUGGAAUUCCAGGUUGCCUUAUCUUUCCUAUGUUCCUUUGUUCUCGGAGUCAUUAGCAGACGGGCACUAA